CACUAGAAUUUGCCAUUUUUCUUAUCAAAAAUCGGCGGUUCGAUUGACAAAUGAUAACGAAUUUGCCUUGACGGUGCGGUUCGGUGCGGUUUCGGCGGUUUCGGCGGUAUUAUGCACACCCCUAAUUGUGAGAAUUGUUAGAAUGCUGCACUGUGAAGAAUCUUGAUUCUGUUGUGGUAGCAGUUAUGUUGUGCUGAUUGCAUAGGGAUUUUGACUCUUUGUUCAUGCUGAUAUGAUUUGGAAUGUUGAUAAUCUUGCCUCGCAACAGUAUUUUCUUGCUUGUCAGACUAGUGGCAGAAGUGGCGGAGUACUCCAAUUGUGUUGAACCUUCUUAUCUUCAUAAUUUUGGUGGCAUAUACUGAUGUCCUUGUAUAGCUCGUAUUUCAUGUGGUUUAUUCAGUUGUCUCUUUCCUGGGAUGUUAUCAAUCGAAACCACUAUAUAAUCCAUUAUAUUUUGUAGUUUUAAUCAUGUAUGCUAGUUGGGCCAGUAGCUAUUUAUGUAAGAGAGUAAAUUUCAAUCUUAGUGUAUUCAUUGCUGUUUUGUCUUUUCUUUUAUUGUCCCUACUGUGUGGCCAAAAAGCUGCUAGGGAAGUUUUUUGUGCAGGUUGCAUUCCAGAUAUACGCUUCCAUUUGGAAUUUCAUUGUAUCCAUGUGGUAUGGCGCUGAUCCACUUCAUAUGGAGAAUGUGUUCAAGUAUGCAGUUGUCGUGAUGCAGCCUGUGAGGUUGUGCCUGCUAUCAAAUUUGUGUUUCCUUUGCUUGGAGCAAUGGUGAAGUCUGUGUAGCAUUAAUUUUGGCAUUUGAAGUUGGGUUAGUUUUGUCCUGAUUGUCAAAUUUGAAGAAUAAAUUGGCAUUGUGAUUUUUAGCUUGUUAGUGUAGCUAUUUAAAUUGUUUAUUAUUUGAUUGGUGAAAGGUGGAAAUUGGGCACA